ACGUUAUAUUCUUUAUGAUUUUGUUUUUGGUACACCGUUAAGUUACAAGAUUAUUGCUCCGUUUCCCUCUUUCAUGUGGCGAUGGCGGGUGCGACUAUGCUCCACUCAUCGUUUCAAUCUCUUCUUCCCUCGCUGGCUCGUCGGUAUUCUCUGCUCUUCGAUAGCUGUUUCCAUUCCCGCCGGCUCAUGUCAACUGGCCGUCCCUUCCAUUCCAUAAGCCGUAAUAAACCUUCACCGCUCGCCGUUCGAGCGCAGGCUAGGCGAAGCUUAUCUUCGAAUAAAGUCAUCAAGGAUGAACUUGCAUCUCUGGCCGAUUUGUGUUUUGAGGGGCCUCUGAAAAUUGUAGAAUAUCCGGAUCCUAUACUUAGAGCAAAGAACAAAAGAAUUGGAACGUUUGAUGAUAAUUUGAAGAAGCUAGUAGAUGAAAUGUUCGAUGUAAUGUAUAGAACUGAUGGCAUUGGGCUGUCAGCACCGCAGGUUGGAAUUAAUGUUCAGCUUAUGGUAUUUAAUCCGGUUGGUGAGCGGGGUGAAGGAGAGGAAAUUGUUCUUGUAAAUCCACGGGUCACCAGAUAUUCCAGAAAGGUGCUGCCAUAUAAUGAAGGUUGCUUAUCUUUUCCUGGGAUUUAUGCUGAUGUAGAGACUGGGUUGUCCAUAUUUUCAAUUCCAGAGACCAGAUUCUGUGAACGUAGAUGCACAGGAUAUAAAUGGGGCAAGGUUUACAGUUGGAUUGACAAGGCUUCCUGCACGGGUCUUCCAGCAUGAAUAUGAUCAUUUGCAGGGAAUUCUUUUCUUUGACCGAAUGUCUGAUGAAGUCCUAGACACUGUGCGGGAAAAUUUAGAGGCUUUGGAAAAGAAAUAUGAGGACAGCACUGGGCUGCCAAGCCCUGAAAGGAUAAAUACCCGGAUAAAUACCCGCAAAAGAAGGCAGGCUGGUGUUGGAUUUGGAAAAUCAUGAAGAACACUGGAAAUUGUGAGUUGCUGCAGUUUUGGAAUAUUAGAGAAUUUUCUUGUCUAGAAUCCCUAGGUUUUUUAUUGUACCAACAUGUGAAACUUUUACUUUUUAUAUAUCAAGUUAACAUUAUUGGGUGAAGUACAAGUUUUAAUACAAGUGUUCGUGCACUUUGUGAGCUAUUGGUUCAUUAUACCCUUAUUAAUUUUUGUUGCUCUAUGAUGUUUUUUUUUUCUUUUUUGAGUCAUUGAUACUCUGAUUGGAAAUAUUUUGUCUGAUGUAUUGCUGUAAUAAUAAUAAUAAUUACCUUAUUGUGA